AGUUUUGGAAGCAUAUUGACAUUGAAUGUUAUAGUAGCAGGCUUUGUCUUGUUAAUCAAUGAUUUAAUAAUCCAUAUAUAUACAGGUAUACACAUUUACACUGUGAAUGUAAAGCACAGAAACGAAGCAAUACCAACAAACAAGUUACAAUAAUACGCACCCUUUAGGAAAAAAAAAAAGUGUCUCUUUUGAACUUGUCCAGAGACAGAUUUUGUAUUUUUCUUCUGACUUAUCGAAUCUGUUCCAAAGAAAUGGUAAUGUAACUUGUGUAUGUUUUCAGUGUUUUCACAAAAUACUAAAUGUAAUAUGUAAUAUAUUAAUAUUUAAAACACUUAAAUGUAAUCAAGAAUACAAACCUUUAAGAUCAGUGGCAGGGUACAAAUAAUAAGUCAAGUUGCUGUAUGUCUUUUUUAAUGAGGGCCUAUCUCAUCUCAAAAACGAAUUAUAAAUUUGUUGUUUUCGCCCCGUGUGUGUAGUUUCGGUUUCGUUUUGAGGGUUUUUAUUUCGCUGCAUCGCCUCGAAUAAAUGACCUGCACAAAUUACUAACACAAACUGCACAAUGAACAAAACAUCUUCACAGCAUUACAGAAGACAAACCUUGUUGCAGUCCUGAUCGAAGCUCUUGUGUAUGUUUUGCAUAAUGUCAAGUCACCUUUAUUACAGCGAUGCAGAUUGUCAAAGCAGCUUUACAGUGAUAACUGCACAACAGCUCUAGAAGAAAAUUGUGUCAUUGUCCAGCUUAAAUAAAUUCAGUAUUGAUUCAUUCCGUUGUAGAAAUCAAUAGUUAUUUAUCUAUAUAUCAGCACUGGAGAAGACAGUGAUGUCAUGGUCCAGCUCAGUUAAGUUCGCAUACAAUUGGUGUCAAUGCGGGCAUAUCAAAACAACAUUAUUGAAUAUCUAGUGUCCCCAACUACUCAAGCCAAAGACGAUAGCGGCAAGGAACCAAAACUUCAACAGCUGACAAAAAAAAAAAAAAAGUGUUUGUAAUCUUACAUGUAAAUGUAUACCAACAAACAGACAUUAAAUUCUAUAGUUUCUAUAUCCCAGGAAUAGUCAGAGCAAGUCAAGUCAAAGAGCUUUCUUGCUUUGUUUAGCCCUUCAUAUUGUUAUAUUUAGUCGGGCUGAUUUGCUAUUCUUUCUAUUGUUUUAGUAAUUUCAUCCAUGACAUUCUCUAACUGAACGAUUUCUAUCCACAUCUGCUGGAGUGCCAUUCUAGCUGGCAUAACUCUGAUAAAUCGAGCUCCGAGCAAACAUGAUGUCUGAGACUUUAUCUGCGCAGCCAACACACUAAUGUCAUAUAUCUGUAUGAAACGCACUAAUUCACUGGCAGAUGAAAAAUAUUGACUUAAAUACCCAACAUCACGCUCUGGGUAACUGAGGUCUCUCAAUAUUUCAUUAACAUGCUGACUGAUCUCAUUCAUCUUGUCCAGCAUAGGGCUGAUUUUAUGCUGAAAUUCGCUCAGUUCAGCUUCAGUGUCUUGUAUUAUUUUUGCCUGCAGGCUCACGAUCUUCUUGUUCCAGAUUGUAUCACAGAGUGCAGCGCCUGAAACCACAGCUGCUCCCGCUCCUGCGAUAAGAGCAGAAAUGCCCUGAUGAACUGGAGCUAAAACUAACCCCAAACCCAUCAUCAACCCUCCAGCCACUUCUGCAUUUAAUGCGUGUGUAAUGACUCCAGUAGCACGUCUGAAAUCUUCUUCAAAUGUCCCGAUGAUAAGACACACUCUCUGCACGCGCUUCUGGGUUUGAGGGAAAUCUCUCAGAUAGAGUGCAACCAGUUCUUUUUCCAGUUGAUUGAAAACAGAUCUAGAGGGGGAAAAAACUAUUCAGUUGUAUUACAUGCAUUUCUAUUACCAAUCACUGCUGAUAUGCAGAUUAAACUAUUUAAUUAUAAUUGUUUGUGCAAUAUGUGUGUACACAAGUUUUGCUUAUAAAACAACUUUGAUUCAUAAUGCAGUAAUCACUUCUUUCUUUAAACACCCAAUAAUUCUGAUUCAAUGACUCUACAACACACCAUCAGAGAGAUGCAACGUUAGUGCAUGCGCUGAACACAAAUCAUAUGAUUCGUGAUGCACAUGUGCUUCAGCUGUCCCUCAGUUCCAACUGUACAUACUGACGAAAAAAAAACUGCAUGUCUUAAUUUUACCUUUCGCUGCUGUUAAUUCUCUUAUUUACACUCGAAACUUCGUGAUCCGUAAACUCAUCCAUCUGCGAUCAC
ensembl:lncRNA